AUUGAACGCUGGCGGCAUGCCUUACACAUGCAAGUCGAACGGCAGCACGGGUGCUUGCACCUGGUGGCGAGUGGCGAACGGGUGAGUAAUAUAUCGGAACGUACCUUAUCGUGGGGGAUAACGCAGCGAAAGCUGCGCUAAUACCGCAUACGCCCUGAGGGGGAAACGGGGGGACCGUAAGGCCUCGCGCGAUUAGAGCGGCCGAUAUCUGAUUAGCUUGUGUGGGUAAAGCCCACCAAGGCGACGAUCAGUAGCUGGUCUGAGAGGACGAUCAGCCACACUGGGACUGAGACACGGCCCAGACUCCUACGGGAGGCAGCAGUGGGGAAUUUUGGACAAUGGGCGCAAGCCUGAUCCAGCCAUGCCGCGUGC
rnacentral:rRNA from 1 species